rnacentral:rRNA from 1 species
AGCAGCCGCGGUAAUUCCAGCUCCAAUAGCGUAUAUUAAAGUUGUUGCAGUUAAAAAGCUCGUAGUUGAAUUUCGGGAUCAAUACGUCGGUCGUGCUUCGGUACGUACUGGUGUCAUUGAUUUCUCCCUUCUGACGAACCAUGAUGUCAUUAACUUGGUGUCAUGGGAAAUCAGGACUGUUACUUUGAAAAAUUAGAGUGUUUAAAGCAGGCUCACGCUUGAAUACAUUAGCAUGGAAUAAUGAAAUAGGACGUUCGAUCCUAUUUUGUUGGUUUCUAGGAUCAACGUAAUGAUUAAUAGGGAUAGUUGGGGGCAUUAGUAUUCAAUUGUCAGAGGUGAAAUUCUUGGAUUUAUUGAAGACUAACUACUGCGAAAGCAUUUGCCAAGGAUGUUUUCAUUAAUCAAGAACGAAAGUUAGGGGAUCGAAGACGAUCAGAUACCGUCGUAGUCUUAACCAUAAACUAUGCCGACUAGGGAUCGGAUGAUGUUAAUUAUUUAAUGACUCAUUC